GAUGAGGAGGGACAGAAACAAAAAUCAAAAUUACAAAGGAGGUAAGGGAUAGAUGGUGUAGGGCUUUGAAAAUCAUGGUAAAGCCCAAGACUUUGACUGUAAAUGAGACAGGAGGUCACUAGGUUGCUUUUGAUGAAGAGAAGCUCUGACUUCUCUCACUGAGUGUUUGUAAAACUAAAUGAGCCCAGUUUAUAUAGUGUGAUAAGAUACAGUAUAUUAUGAAAAACUACAUAUACCUUUAUAGCCAGCCUAAUCUCUAGGGUAUAUAAAAAACUCAAAAAGCUAAGCACUGAAAAAACAAAUAACCCAAUCAACAAAUGGGCCAAGGAACUGAAUAGACACUUCUCAGAAGAGGAUAUACAAUCAAUCAACAAAUAUAUGAAAAAAUGCUCAUCAUCUCUAGCAAUCCGAGAAAUACAAAUCAAAACUACUCUAAGACAUCAUCUCACUCCAGUCAGAAUGGCAGCUAUUAUGAAGACAACAAUAAGUAUUGGUGAGGAUGUGGGGGAAAAGGCACACUCAUACAUUGCUGGUGGGACUGCAAAUUGGUACAGCCAAUAUGGAAAGCACUAUGGAGAUUACUUGGAAACCUGGGCAUGGAACCACCAUUUGACCCAGCUAUCCCUCUCCUCAGAUUAUACUCAAAGGACUUAAAACCAGCAUACUACAGGGACACACCACAUCAAUAUUUAUAGCAGCACAAUUCACAAGAGCUAAACUGUGGAGCCAACCUGGAUGCCCUUCAGUGGAUGAAUGGAUUAAAAAAUGUAGCAUGUAUACACAAUGGAAUUUUACUCAGCAUUAAAAGAGAAUAAAAUCAUGGCAUUUGCAGGUAAAUGGAUUGCGUUGGAGAAGAUCAUGCUAAGUGAAGUUAGCCAAUC
rnacentral:lncRNA from 1 species